rnacentral:misc_RNA from 1 species
AUGAUUUCCGUAAAGGUGCAUGAGUGGUGUUUGGUUUGUUACGGAUGGUUGGAUGUCUGCUUGCGCAGCAACUUCCAUGCGGGCUUACCUCUUCAAUUGUGCUACAAGCCUUGUUUGGCUUGCAGCAUUCGGUGGGUUUCUUGUGUUGCUUACCUAAUCGAUGGCAUUGUUUGUCCCUAUAAGUUGCAUUUUGUAACACGCUGCUUGCGGCGUGAUGCAAACAAUGAAGCAACCUUUGUUGUUCAACCUGUUGCUGCUCAUGCAUCGAUGGCUUGGCCCAUGAAGUGUUGAAUGGUCCCUUGGAUAUGGAACAUGAUGUGGGCACAAGUUCGUCAAAGAUCUUGUAUUUGCCCUAUCAAKUGAUUUAGCUUCUUUAAAUGACCGUCGUCCAUGUAUCRACAAGUCGGUGUAUGGAGGAUUGUGUCAA